UACGUAGGGUGCGAGCGUUGUCCGGAAUUACUGGGCGUAAAGAGCUCGUAGGUGGUUUGUCGCGUUGUCCGUGAAAACUCACAACUCAACUGCGGGCCUGCAGCCGAUACGGGCAGGCUAGAGUUCGGUAGGGGAGACUGGAAUUCCUGGUGUAGCGGUGAAAUGCGCAGAUAUCAGGAAGAACACCCGUGGCGAAGGCGGCUCUCUGGGACGGUACUGACGCUGAGACGCGAAAGCGUGGGGAGCGAACAGG
rnacentral:rRNA from 1 species